rnacentral:pre_miRNA from 15 species
GACUGCCCUCAAGGAGCUUACAAUCUAGCUGGGGCUAAAAGACUUGCACACAAACACAACUAGACUGUGAGCUUCUAGAGGGCAGGGA